CAAAAUAAUAGUAGUGCCGGUGAAGCAACACGUUAUUUCUCAUUAUUUCCUCUAUGCCUUCACAUAUUCAAAUAAUUUUUUCACACAAGUGACGUUAAUUCUUUGCUCUCUAAGAACGUAAAGUUAUUUUCGGUUCUCUCUUCGUUUUACAUUCUUUUUCGGCUUUAAUUGCAAGGAUGCACUUGUUUGACCCAGUCAAAAUAAUAGUAGUGCCAGCUAAAUUGACAAGAAUAAUUAAAUUUAAUCGCUUUUUAGCCAGACUCUUCUUUGAAAUUAGGUACAGAAUAUAUGGGGCGUGGCAAACACUGUAAUGCCGAGAGGCGGUAACUCAUUAAAAAACUGAUUUUUUCUGGAAAGACUUAUGUCAGGGUGCAAAAUAUUAUCGGAUGCUCUUCUACAAUGAUUAGAAAU